rnacentral:tRNA from 1 species
GCCCCCGUAGCUCAACUGGAUAGAGUUUCUGGCUUCAUACCAGACGGCUGCACGUUCAAAUCGUGCCGGGGACG